rnacentral:rRNA from 1 species
UGACCUCGGAUCAGGUAGGAAUACCCGCUGAACUUAAGCAUAUCAAUAAGCGGAGAA